AAUUUUUUUAGGUUGACCUCGGAUCAGGUAGG
rnacentral:rRNA from 1 species